rnacentral:tRNA from 1 species
AAGAAAUUAGUUAAAUUUAUAACCUAUGCUUGUCAUGCAUAAAUUGUCCCUUAGACAUCUCUUA